rnacentral:misc_RNA from 1 species
GUGAAUCAUCGAAUCUUUGAACGCAUAUUGCACUCAUUUAGAGUAUGCCUGUUUGAGAAUCUAUAGUAAAAAUUAUUCAUUUGCUCUGUUUGGAUCAUUACUAGAUACUGUAGCAAUACUGUAUAGGAUAGUUAUGUGAAAAUCAUAGUAAUUGAAUAGAUUUGAGGUUCCCCUCCUCUUUGAGAAGGGUACUUUGAAAUAGAUUGCUUAUAGUUUUAGAAGAAUGUUUGACUUUCCUCAAAACUUGCAGAAACGUAUGUGAAUGGAACCUUGGUUUCUCAUAAUGCUUAAUACGUAAGG